UCACUCCCACAAAAGUUCCCAACGUCCGCUACGAGCUGAGCGAGGCAGCUCCAUCCGUCCAGCAGAAGAACACGAUGGUGAAUCCACAGGUGUUUGUCCACAGAGACUUCAGCGCAGUGCGUGAUCAGGCAAUGACAAUGAUCCAAACAGCAUUCACACUGCUGGACCAGGAGUUCCACAAACUAGAUCGAGAGAAGUCAGAGCUGACUAA